rnacentral:rRNA from 1 species
UACGUAGGGUGCGAGCGUUAAUCGGAAUUACUGGGCGUAAAGCGUGCGCAGGCGGUUUUGUAAGACAGAUGUGAAAUCCCCGGGCUUAACCUGGGAACUGCAUUUGUGACUGCAAGACUAGAGUACUGGAGAGGGUGGUGGAAUUCCUCGUGUAGCGGUGAAAUGCGUAGAUAUGUGGAGGAAUACCGAUGGCGAAGGCAGCCCCCUGGGUCGACACUGACGCUCAUGCACGAAAGCGUGGGGAGCAAACAGG